UGGGGAAUAUUGCACAAUGGGGAAACCCUGAUGCAGCGACGCCGCGUGAAGGAUGAAGUAUUUCGGUAUGUAAACUUCUAUCAGCAGGGAAGAAAUGACGGUACCUGACUAAGAAGCCCCGGCUAACUACGUGCCAGCAGCCGCGGUAAUACGUAGGGGGCAAGCGUUAUCCGGAUUUACUGGGUGUAAAGGGAGCGUAGACGGCAUGGCAAGUCUGAAGUGAAACGCCGGGCUCAAGCCCGGACUGCUUUGGAAACUGUCAGGCUAGAGUGCUGGAGAGGUAAGUGGAAUUCCUAGUGUAGCGGUGAAAUGCGUAGAUAUUAGGAGGAACACCAGUGGCGAAGGCGGCUUACUGGACAGUGACUGACGUUGAGGCUCGAAAGCGUGGGGAGCAAACAGGAUUAGAUACCC
rnacentral:rRNA from 1 species